rnacentral:rRNA from 1 species
AUUGAACGCUGGCGGCAGGCUUAACACAUGCAAGUCGAGCGGAGUGAUGGUGCUUGCACUAUCACUUAGCGGCGGACGGGUGAGUAAUGCUUAGGAAUCUGCCUAUUAGUGGGGGACAACAUCUCGAAAGGGAUGCUAAUACCGCAUACGUCCUACGGGAGAAAGCAGGGGAUCACUUGUGACCUUGCGCUAAUAGAUGAGCCUAAGUCGGAUUAGCUAGUUGGUGGGGUAAAGGCCUACCAAGGCGACGAUCUGUAGCGGGUCUGAGAGGAUGAUCGGCCAGACGGGGACUGCGACACGGCCCAGACUCCUACGGGGGGAAGCAGUGGGGAAUAUUGGACAAUGGGGGGAACCCUGAUCCAGCCAUGCCGCGUGUGUGAAGAAGGCCUUAUGGUUGUAAAGCACUUUAAGCGAGGAGGAGGCUCUUUUGGUUAAUACCCAAGAUGAGUGGACGUUACUCGCAGAAUAAGCACCGGCUAACUCUGUGCCAGCCGCCGCCGUAA